rnacentral:tRNA from 1 species
GCCGCGGUAGUAUAGCCCGGUCAAUCCUGUGCGUCUAGGAACCGAAAGUAUGCAGGCCUUUCGAGCCUGUGACCCGGGUUCAAAUCCCGGCCGCGGCA